CAAUAGCGUAUAUUAAAGCUGUUGCGGUUAAAAAGCUCGUAGUUGGAUUUCUGUCAAGGACAACUGGUCCGCCCCUCGGGUGAGCACAUAGUUUGGUCUUGGCAUCUUGUUGGAAACUGUUGCUGCACUUGGUUGUGUGGCGCAGUGUCCAGCACUUUCACUUUGAGGAAAUUGGAGUGUUUCAAGCAGGCACAUGCCUUUGGACACAGUAGCAUGGAAUAAUUAGAUUGGGCUUUUGUUCCAACUUGUCGGUUUCUGGAGCUGAGGUGAGAAUUAAUGGGGAUUGUUGGGGGCAUCCGAAUUUAGCCGUCAGAGGUGAAAUUCUUGGAUCUGCUAAAGACGGACAACUGCGAAAGCGUUUGCCCAGGAUGUUUUCAUUGA
rnacentral:rRNA from 1 species